rnacentral:rRNA from 1 species
UAAUACGAGGGGUGCUAGCGUUGUCCGGAAUUACUGGGCGUAAAGGGUGUCUAGGCGAUUAGGUAGGUUGUUUGUAAAAUACCCCGGCUUAACCGGGGACCUGCAUACAAAACUAUCUGGAUAGAGUUUGGGAGAGGAAAGUGGAAUUCCUGGUGUAGCGGUGACAUGCGUAGAUAUCAGGAGGAACACCAAAAGCGAAGGCAGCUUUCUGGCCCAAAACUGACGCUGAAGCACGAAAGCGUGGGGAGCAAACAGGAUUAGAUACCCUGGUAGUCCACGCUGUAAACGAUGAGCACUUGGUGUUGGGAGAUUCGACCCUCUCAGUGCCGAAGCUAACGCAUUAAGUGCUCCGCCUGGGGACUACGACCGCAAGGUUG